GAGAGGAGGGGGGUCUCACUCACAUACACGAAAAUGAAAAAAAUAAAAAAAACAACACUUCAGACCUUGAAACAGAUCUGGUGUUUUAGUCGCACACUUCAAUGGCUGUAUUUCUGACAGAUUAUUACGAUCUUAUAAAUUUAAAAAAAGUACAUGAAGGCUCUCACCUGUUUAUUUUCCCACUCCUCUGUAACUUCCAAGGGGAUAAAGAUCAAGGCUGAUGAAAGGCGAGGAGGGCAGAGUGUGAGUUUGGGGAUGACUGAAAAAAAAAAGAAAGAAAAAAAGAAAAGAAAAGAAAAAACGCUUUACCUGCCAAACCGUCGCAUUGGGCUUGACUUGCGCGACACUGUCCGAGCGCGUCCUCGAGGUCCGAUUGGAGAGGGGGGGGGCGAGAGGGGGAGUGUGUGUGUUUAAAACCGGGCACGGGAGCGCGCCUGUGAGCGGCAUUUUAAAUAGGAGGGAGAGACACACACAGAGAGAGAGAGAGAGAGAGAGAGAGAGAGAGAGGAGAGGGGGUUAUUAUUCAAGAGUGCAGCAGUCAGACGCCGCUGCAAGAGGGGAAAAAAAAUGGAGGAGGUGGGAAAUCAGUCAAUCAGAGACUGAUGCGGUUCACUUUUUUUUUCCCUCUGUUUUGAGCAUUUCUGCAGGAGAGAGCGGAUCGCAGCGGAGAAGAGAGAGAAGAGAGAGGAGAGGGGAGAGAAGACAGGAGAUGGAUGGAGCGGAGGAGAGAGGAGAUGCGCUUCAAGAUGAGUCCCGGGCUGAGUGUAGCGGCAGCGUGGCGCAGUGCCCGCGCUCUUGUCCAUACAGCUGACACCCAUGGGAGAAAAGGGAGUCGGACCUGAAACCUGACAGUGUUCGGCCUCACCGGAAGCCUCACCUCUGGUUUCCUCUUGCAACAGGUGGCGGAGCCAAGUGACGCACAAAUAAAACCAGGCAGGAGAAAGGGAGGAUGGGGAAGUAUGGAUUUCACCGUGCUCCAAAGCGGGAGGGUGUGUUUUGUUUAAUGUCAGUGAGGAUCGCAGUAGGGAUCUGUUAUCUGUUAUCACACGAGGUCAUAAAAGUUUCAGUCAGCUGGGGAAAAAAAAAAGAUUAUCUGUGAUUAGGUGAGAUGAUCCUUCACAUAAUGUCAGAAUUUCAUAAUGAAAGUAUUGAUUUCUGUCAUAAUUUGGUUUUUAAUGGCAGCUUAUUAUUUUGCAACGAGAAGACUGACAUUUUAGUGUCUUUCUGCUUCUAACAUGCAGCUACAUCAUAUUUAGCAUAUCAUUAAUAUACUGUUCUAAUGACAUGUUAUUAUAGCAACUCUUAGUGUAAGUAACCAUUUUCCACAUGGUAUAUAUUCAGCAUUAAUACUCAAAGACACUGAAUCUGCUAUUUUUCCUCAUUCAUCUUCUCCUGUUGUCUCCAAAUGACAUGGCGUAUGAGUCGACCACUUUCACUCUUCAAAACAAUGUCAUAUUUUUUGUAACCUUCGCAUUAAAAAUUGGAUAUUUGUUUCUUGUAAAGAGAAUGGUGUUAUGUAAUGUAUCAUCUUUGACUGAAACUGUUCCCCUUUCCUGUUUGACAGACAUAUUGUUAGAGAUGAUAAGUCACUACAACAGAAUCUACACAUUAAGGGAAGUGUAGUGAAUAGUGAAUUAUAAAUGCAUUUCUGAUGCUUUUAUAGCCACUGUUUCUUUUUUGAUAAAAUGUCAUUCACUCCACAAAGCCAGCUGGUAAUUAAGGACCCUUCAGACUGUAAGUUAUCAUGUUUUGAUGGAACAUUCAGUCCUAAUUAUUUCCAAUUCAGUUCAAUCCAGCAGCCCUCUAAUGUAAUCAAGUCACUCCAUUUAUUGUCACAAUAAUGUAUUCAAACUGGGGUGUGGCUGAGUUCUUAUAAAAAUCAUCAUACCACCUGCAUGAAAGGAGGAAAUCAAGUAUACCUCUUCAGGUCUCCUGAGUGUGUGUGUGUCUGUAGAUUAAUACGUGGGGCUGCAAGAGUGUGUGUGUGUGUGUAUGAGUGUGCUGAUAUUUGACAGUCUUGGACAUGUUCCUACACUGGCUGUGAGUGGCCUGAGGGAAGCAGGCCUACUAGAGAAUGAGCCAGACAGUUGGCAAAGCCUCUGCUUCCGUCUCAGCUGUCGUUGGUAGUCUGGCCAUGUGGCUGAGACACUGCUUCCUGUGUCCAAACACUGGAAAAACCUUGAAUCUCAUGUGCUCUAAUCCUAUUUGUUGGAUUAAAAUAAAGAAUUUUAAUAUGUAUUGAAAAGCA